AUUCGAAAUUAAUUAGUCAAAAUUGACGACAUUCGACCGAAGUCGACGAACGUUCAACGACAUUUUUUAGCAAAUUCUUAUUAAAAUGGACGGUCGCAAGGUACAAAAGACUAAGAAUGAAUCACCGAAGAGCCCACGCCCUAAGAGAUCAAUGAAGAGUUACUUUUUUGGCGGCAUCUUUGUGACGGGUAUGGCCGCUUUCUUUAUUUGCUUUAUUGGAAAGGUAUACUCUUCCACCGAAGGAGGCUGGCUUGAAUCGGUACUGCAAAAGAUACAAUAAAUAUUUUGUCGUUGGAAGUUUGAAGGAAAAUUUGAAGUAAUAUGUCACUUUUUAUACUAAAUUUUUUAUAUUUCUAUUUUUUCAAUUUUGUACUUGCUGACCGUUGUCUGAUUUGUUGAUAUUGUACCUUGAGUGGAUAAAUAAAUUGCCUGUUAUGUA